rnacentral:rRNA from 1 species
CAAUGGCAAUAGUGGCGCACGGGUGCGUAACGCGUAACCAACCUACCCGAAUCUGGGGGAUAGCCCGCCGAAAGGCGGAUUAAUACCGCAUAAGACUAUAGACUGGCAUCGGUUAGUAGUUAAAGAUUUAUUGGAUUCGGAUGGGGUUGCGUGCCAUUAGCUAGUUGGGGAGGUAACGGCUCACCAAGGCGACGAUGGCUAGGGGAGCUGAGAGGCUGGUCCCCCACACGGGCACUGAGAUACGGGCCCGACUCCUACGGGAGGCAGCAGUAGGGAAUAUUGGGCAAUGGCCGAGAGGCUGACCCAGCCAUGCCGCGUGCAGGAUGAAGGCUUUCUGAGUCGUAAACUGCUUUUGCCAGGGAAGAAUAAGGUCCAUGCGUGGUCCGACGACGGUACCUGGUGAAUAAGCACCGGCUAACUCCGUGCCAGCAGCCGCGGUAAUACGGAGGGUGCAAGCGUUGUCCGGAUUUAUUGGGUUUAAAGGGUGCGUAGGCGGCCGUUUAAGUCCGGGGUGAAAGCCCGUUGCUCAACAACGGAACUGCCCUGGAAACUGGAUGGCUUGAGUACAGACGAGGGUGGCGGAAUGGAGGGUGUAGCGGUGAAAUGCAUAGAUACCCUCCAGAACCCCGAUUGCGAAGGCAGCUGCCUAGACUGUAACUGACGCUGAGGCACGAAAGCGUGGGGAGCGAACAGGAUUAGAUACCCUGGUAGUCCACGCCGUAAACGAUGGAUACUCGCUGCCGGCGAUACAAUGUCGGUGGCUUAGCGAAAGCGUUAAGUAUCCCACCUGGGGAGUACGCUCGCAAGAGUGAAACUCAAAAGAAUUGACGGGGGCCCGCACAAGUGGUGGAGCAUGUGGUUUAAUUCGAUGAUACGCGAGGAACCUUACCUAGGCUAGAAUGCGCGUGACCGGUUCAGAGAUGAGCCUUUCCUUCGGGACACAAAGCAAGGCGCUGCAUGGCCGUCG